rnacentral:rRNA from 1 species
CUAGCAUAUCAAUAAGCGGAGGAAAAGAAACCAACAGGGAUUGCCCUAGUAACGGCGAGUGAAGCGGCAACAGCUCAAAUUUGAAAUCUGGCCCUCUUUGGGGGUCCGAGUUGUAAUUUGCAGAGGGUGCUUUGGCAUCGGCGGCGGUCUAAGUUCCUUGGAACAGGACAUCGCAGAGGGUGAGAAUCCCGUACGUGGGCGCCUGCCUUUGCCGUGUAAAGCCCCUUCGACGAGUCGAGUUGUUUGGGAAUGCAGCUCUAAAUGGGAGGUAAAUUUCUUCUAAAGCUAAAUACCGGCCAGAGACCGAUAGCGCACAAGUAGAGUGAUCGAAAGAUGAAAAGUACUUUGGAAAGAGAGUCAAAUAGCACGUGAAAUUGUUGAAAGGGAAGCGCUUGCAGCCAGACGUGCCCGCAGUUGCUCACCCAGGCUCCGGCCUGGGGCAUUCUUCUGCGGGCAGGCCAGCAUCAGUUUGGGCGGUUGGAUAAAGGCCUCUGUCACGUAUCUCCCUUCGGGGUGACCUUAUAGGGGAGGCGCAAUGCAACCAGCCCGGACUGAGGUCCGCGCAUCUGCUAGGAUGCUGGCGUAAUGGCUGUAAGCGGCCCGUCUUGAAACACGGACCAAGGAGUCUAACAUCUAUGCGAGUGUUUGGGUGUCAAGCCCGGGCGCGUAAUGAAAGUGAACGGAGGUGGGAACCCUUUGGGUGCACCAUCGACCGAUCCUGAUGUCUUCGGAUGGAUUUGAGUAAGAGCAUAGCUGUUGGGACCCGAAAGAUGGUGAACUAUGCUUGAAUAGGGUGAAGCCAGAGGAAACUCUGGUGGAGGCUCGCAGCGGUUCUGACGUGCAAAUCGAUCGUCAAAUUUGGGCAUAGGGGCGAAAGACUAAUCGAACCAUCUAGUAGCUGGGUUCCUGCCGA